AGUCGAGCGGUAGCACAGGAGAGCUUGCUCUCUGGGUGACGAGCGGCGGACGGGUGAGUAAUGUCUGGGAAACUGCCUGAUGGAGGGGGAUAACUACUGGAAACGGUAGCUAAUACCGCAUGACGUCGCAAGACCAAAGUGGGGGACCUUCGGGCCUCACGCCAUCGGAUGUGCCCAGAUGGGAUUAGCUAGUAGGUGAGGUAAUGGCUCACCUAGGCGACGAUCCCUAGCUGGUCUGAGAGGAUGACCAGCCACACUGGAACUGAGACACGGUCCAGACUCCUACGGGAGGCAGCAGUGGGGAAUAUUGCACAAUGGGCGCAAGCCUGAUGCAGCCAUGCCGCGUGUGUGAAGAAGGCCUUAGGGUUGUAAAGCACUUUCAGCGAGGAGGAAGGCGUUGCAGUUAAUAGCUGCAGCGAUUGACGUUACUCGCAGAGGAAGCACCGGCUAACUCCGUGCCAGCAGCCGCG
rnacentral:rRNA from 1 species